rnacentral:lncRNA from 1 species
GUCUUUUAUUCAUCAUGGUUCCACUUUUUUUUUCUUUCUUUUGUGUCUUCCAUCGGACGUUCUUCCUUUUGCCAUCCUUCUCUUCUAUUCAUUGGAAAAGGGACUGGCGCAAUGGGCCUUUUUUCUUCUCUUCCAGCUAAUAGUAUACUACGCCCUGUGCUUCUUUUUGGAAGCUCGCCCCAAACAGUCAAUUUAUCCCCUUAUUCUACUUAUGUUAUAUUUUUAUGUUUUAGG